rnacentral:rRNA from 1 species
UAGUGGCGGACGGGUGAGUAACGCGUGGGUAACCUGCCUCACACAGGGGGAUAACAGUUGGAAACGGCUGCUAAUACCGCAUAAGCGCACAGUACCGCAUGGUACAGUGUGAAAAACUCCGGUGGUAUAAGAUGGACCCGCGUCUGAUUAGCUAGUUGGUGAGAUAACAGCCCACCAAGGCGACGAUCCAUAGCCGGCCUGAGAGGGUGAACGGCCACAUUGGGACUGAGACACGGCCCAGACUCCUACGGGAGGCAGCAGUGGGGAAUAUUGCACAAUGGGGGAAACCCUGAUGCAGCGACGCCGCGUGAAGGAAGAAGUAUCUCGGUAUGUAAACUUCUAUCAGCAGGGAAGAUAAUGACGGUACCUGACUAAGAAGCCCCGGCUAACUACGUGCCAGCAGCCGCGGUAAUACGUAGGGGGCAAGCGUUAUCCGGAUUUACUGGGUGUAAAGGGAGCGUAGACGGUGUGGCAAGUCUGAUGUGAAAGGCAUGGGCUCAACCCGUGGACUGCAUUGGAAACUGUCAUACUUGAGUGCCGGAGGGGUAAGCGGAAUUCCUAGUGUAGCGGUGAAAUGCGUAGAUAUUAGGAGGAACACCAGUGGCGAAGGCGGCUUACUGGACGGUAACUGACGUUGAGGCUCGAAAGCGUGGGGAGCAAACAGG